CGCUUAACACAUGCACGUCGACCGAGAAAGUCUCUUCGGAGAUGAGUACAGCGGCGAACGGGUGAGUAACACGUGGGUAACCUGCCCUGAGGAGCGGGACAACCCGGGGAAACUCGGGCUAAUACCGCAUGAUACGUAUGAUCUUAAGGUCGUACGGCAAAAGGUAGCUUCGGCUUCCGCCUUUGGAUGGGCCCGCGGCGCAUUAGCUUGUUGGUGGGGUAACGGCCUACCAAGGCGACGAUGCGUAGCUGGUCUGAGAGGACGAUCAGCCACACUGGGACUGAGACACGGCCCAGACUCCUACGGGAGGCAGCAGUGGGGAAUCUUGCGCAAUGGGCGAAAGCCUGACGCAGCGACGCCGCGUGAGGGAAGAAGGCUCUCGGGUUGUAAACCUC
rnacentral:rRNA from 1 species